rnacentral:lncRNA from 1 species
CAUAGGAAAUAUCAAAGCUAUUUUCUCUCUCGUUCAAUAGCUCCUGAAAUCACAAAAUGAGCAUCAUAUUUAAAAUUUAAGAACAAUAAAUGUUAAAUAUUUUUGCAAAAGAAUCGGUUAAAUUAGAAUCAAGAGAUAACAAACCAUUUGUUGGUUAUUGACUUGCCUCCGAAUUGAUAUUAAUUUAGUUUCACCUUGUACCUACAGAGUAGAUGUACAUUCAAAACACAGAGUAUAUUGAAUAAAAUGCCCAACAAAAAAAGGUC